UACGAAGGGUGCAAGCGUUACUCGGAAUUACUGGGCGUAAAGCGUGCGUAGGUGGCUCGUUGCGUCGGGAGUGAAAACCCGCGGCUCAACCGCGGGCCUGCUUUCCGAUACGGGGCGAGCUAGAGUUCGGCAGGGGGAGACUGGAAUUCCUGGUGUAGCGGUGGAAUGCGCAGAUAUCAGGAGGAACACCGGUGGCGAAGGCGGUUCUCUGGGCAUUACCUGACGUGAGGAGCGAAAGUGUGGGGAGCGAACAGG
rnacentral:rRNA from 1 species